AGCGAACGCUGGCGGCAGGCUUAACACAUGCAAGUCGAGCGCCGUAGCAAUACGGAGCGGCAGACGGGUGGGUAACACGUGGGAACGUGCAUUCUGGUUCGGAAUAACUCAGGGAAAAUUGAGCUAAUACCGGAUAAGCCCUUCGGGGGAAAGAUUGAUCGCCGGACGAUCGGCCCGCGUAAGAUUAGCUAGUUGGUGAGGUAAUGGCUCACCAAGGCUACGAUCUUUAGCUGGUCUGAGAGGAUGAUCAGCCACACUGGGACUGAGACACGGCCCGGACUCUUACGUAAGGGAGCAUUGGGUAGUAUGGGACAAUGGGCGCAAGCCUGAUCCAGCCAUGCCGCGUGAGUGAUGAAGGCCUUAGGGUUGUAAAGCUCUUUUAUCAGGGACGAUAAUGACGGUACCUGCAGAAAAAGCCCCGGCCAACUUCGUGCCAGCCGCCGCCGUAA
rnacentral:rRNA from 1 species